rnacentral:ncRNA from 1 species
ACGCACCGCGGGGGGUGCUGACGCAAAGUCGGCUGAGACCUCCAGUCUGGAGGAACCCCUGGAACCUGAUCCAGGUAAUACUGGCGAAGGGAACGCGGAUAGAGGCAAUC